CCUACGGGAGGCAGCAGUGGGGGAUAUUGCAUAAUGGGGGGAACUCUGAUCCAGCGACGCCGCGUGGGUGAAGAAGCGCCUCGGCGCGUAAAGCCCUGUCAGCAGGGAAGAAAACGACGGUACCUGAAGCAGAAGCCCCGGCUAACUACGUGCCAGCAGCCGCGGUAAUACGUCGGGGGCAAGCGUUAUCCGGAUUUAGUGGGUGUAAAGGGGGCGCAGUCGGCGAUGCAAGCCAGGAGUGAAAGCCCGGGGCCCAACCCCGGGACUGCUCUUGGAACUGCGUGGCUGGAGUGCAGGAGGGGCAGGCGGAAUUCCUGGUGUAGCGGUGAAAUGCGUAGAUAUCAGGAGGAACACCGGUGGCGAAGGCGGCCUGCUGGACUGCAACUGACGUUGAGGCCCGAAAGCGUGGGGAGCAAACAGGAUUAGAUACCCUGGUAGUC
rnacentral:rRNA from 1 species